rnacentral:rRNA from 1 species
AAAUUGAAGAGUUUGAUCAUGGCUCAGAUUGAACGCUGGCGGCAGGCCUAACACAUGCAAGUCGAACGGUAACAGGAAGCAGCUUGCUGCUUCGCUGACGAGUGGCGGACGGGUGAGUAAUGUCUGGGAAACUGCCUGAUGGAGGGGGAUAACUACUGGAAACGGUGGCUAAUACCGCAUAACGUCGCAAGACCAAAGAGGGGGACCUUCGGGCCUCUUGCCAUCAGAUGUGCCCAGAUGGGAUUAGCUUGUUGGUGAGGUAACGGCUCACCAAGGCGACGAUCCCUAGCUGGUCUGAGAGGAUGACCAGCCACACUGGAACUGAGACACGGUCCAGACUCCUACGGGAGGCAGCAGUGGGGAAUAUUGCACAAUGGGCGCAAGCCUGAUGCAGCCAUGCCGCGUGUAUGAAGAAGGCCUUCGGGUUGUAAAGUACUUUCAGCGGGGAGGAAGGUGUUGCGGUUAAUAACCGCAGCAAUUGACGUUACCCGCAGAAGAAGCACCGGCUAACUCCGUGCCAGCAGCCGCGGUAAUACGGAGGGUGCAAGCGUUAAUCGGAAUUACUGGGCGUAAAGCGCACGCAGGCGGUCUGUCAAGUCGGAUGUGAAAUCCCCGGGCUCAACCUGGGAACUGCAUUCGAA